rnacentral:misc_RNA from 1 species
UCCGGUGACAGUCUUUUCACAUUUGAACUUUUGCCAAUGAUAGUAGGAUAUAUGUCACUAUUUAGUAUUUAGUAGAGAGAGCAAAGGUGGCAACACCUUAGCCAAGAGCCCUGAUUGAAACAAUACAAUUGUAUGAUUUGGUACUUGGCUUUCCUUUAGCGAAACUAUAACUUCCAAGGAAAAAAAAAAUGGCCAAUAAUUUAGCAACGGUGUCAUGUGUGGGGCAUCAACAACCUCCCACCUCAAAUUAAAAAAAGAGAUAAGAUUCUAACCUUUUUUAAGAUAAAUAAAG